GCAGCAAUACAGUCGCAGAACACAAUAAAUAAAUAAAUAAAUUGCAGAAUAAUAAAAGACACAGAAAGUUGUUAACCCAGUUCAGUGCAACGUCACCUACUCUGGGGGAUACCAAUCCAGGAAUGAAUCCACUAUAAUAGCUCUAGUUCAAAGCCCUCGACCAACACCCGGUACUUGACUUAUCACCUAGACACUACCCGUGCAAUCCUACCUAAGAACCUCUUAGAUAAUGAGACCCCGUCCCAAAUUUCCUCUAACAACACAUACCAUGUUGCUGUCAAUAACAAUAAUCAGGAUGGAGACACUCUCCUAGAAACUAGACCACACUCUU
rnacentral:lncRNA from 1 species